rnacentral:misc_RNA from 1 species
GAAAUGCGAUAAGUAGUGUGAAUUGCAGAAUUCAGUGAAUCAUCGAAUCUUUGAACGCACAUUGCGCCCCUUGGUAUUCCAUGGGGCAUGCCUGUUCGAGCGUCAUUUGUACCCUCAAGCUCUGCUUGGUGUUGGGUGUUUGUCCCCGUCUCCGCGCGUGGACUCGCCCCAAAGUGAUUGGCAGCCGGCGUACUGGUCCCGGAGCGCAACACAUGUCGCGCAAACGAGUGCCUUGGUACGGCGGCGUCCAUAAGCCCCUCUCUCACGCUCUUGACCUCGGAUCAGGUAGGGAUACCGGCUGAACUUAAGC